rnacentral:snRNA from 1 species
AUCGCUUCUCGGCCUUUUUGCUAAGAUCAAGUGUAGUAUCUGUUCUUAUCAGUUUAAUAUCUGAUACGUCCCCUACCCGGGGACCAUAUAUUAAAUCGAUUUUUGGAACAGGGAUAUGGAAUAGGGGCUUGCUCCGUCCACUCCAGGCAUCGACCUGGUAUUGCAGUAUCUCCAGGAACGGUGCACCUCCC